rnacentral:lncRNA from 1 species
UCCCCUCUUGUAAAUAUAUUAUGUUUCUAUGAUAGGUUAUGUUUCUAUGGAGAGGUUAUGUUUCUAUGGAUAGGUUACAUUUCUAUGGAUAGGUUAUGUUUCUAUGGAGAGGUUAUGUUUCUAUGGAUAGGUUACGUUUCUAUGGAGAGGUUAUGUUUCUGUGGAUAGGUUAUGUUUCUAUGGAUAGGUUAUGUUUCUAUGGAGAGAUUAUGUUUCUGUGGAUAGGUUAUGUUUCUAUGGAUAGGUUACAUUUCUAUGGAUAGGUUAUGUUUCUAUGGAUAGGUUAUGUUUCUAUGGAUAGGUUAUGUUUCUAUGAUAGGUUAUGUUUCUAUGGAUAGGUUAUGUUUCUAUGGAUAGGUUAUGUUUCUAUGGAGAGGUUAUGUUUCUAUGGAGAGGUUAUGUUUCUGUGGAUAGGUUAUGUUUCUAUGGAGAGGUUAUGUUUCUAUGGAGAGAUUAUGUUUCUGUGGAUAGGUUAUGUUUCUAUGGAGAGGUUACAUUUCUAUGGAUAGGUUAUGUUUCUAUGGAUAGGUUACAUUUCUAUGGAUAGGUUAUGUUUCUAUGGAUAGGUUACAUUUCUAUGGAUAGGUUAUGUUUCUAUGGAUAGGUUAUGUUUCUAUGGAGAGAUUAUGUUUCUGUGGAUAGGUUAUGUUUCUAUGGAUAGGUUACAUUUCUAUGGAUAGGUUAUGUUUCUAUGGAUAGGUUACAUUUCUAUGGAUAGGUUAUGUUUCUAUGGAUAGGUUAUGUUUCUAUGGAGAGAUUAUGUUUCUGUGGAUAGGUUAUGUUUCUAUGGAUAGGUUACAUUUCUAUGGAUAGGUUAUGUUUCUAUGGAUAGGUUACAUUUCUAUGGAUAGGUUAUGUUUCUAUGGAUAUUCCUAUCCAGUGUAUAUUAUUAUGUGCUGAAAUAUAUUGCUGAGGAGUCUGCUUAUCUAUCAGUAUCUGUCUGCUCUACAUAGGGACCCAGAAUCCAUGUCAUAAUGUACAGAGGUGUACUGCUGAAACGCCAUUCAC